GGCAGGCCGCCGCCCAAUCGCUGUGAAAGGCGAGCCGGGGAACCAGGUCACUGGGGUGAAUCCGCAGUUUGCGGUAGGGAUCGCUUCCGUCCCGAACCCGUCAGCUAACUCGGUCGGCGGUGCGACGGAAGGAACU
rnacentral:sRNA from 1 species